GGGCGAAUGGUCUAGGGGUAUGAUAUUUGCUUUGCAUUAAAUUUGUGAUCAUUCAGAUGAUUCAAAUCUCUUGUGCUUGCAAAGGGUCCGGGGUUCAAAUCCCCGUUCGUCCA